rnacentral:misc_RNA from 1 species
GAUGAAGAACGUAGUGAAAUGCGAUAAGUAUGUGAAUUGCAGAAUUCAGUGAAUCAUCGAAUCUUUGAACGCACAUUGCGCCCGCCAGUAUUCUGGCGGGCAUGCCUGUUCGAGCGUCAUUACAACCCUCAAGCCCCCCGGCUUGGUGUUGGGGACCGGCCACCGGUGCCCUGCUGCUUCCGCGGCAGGCGCGCCCGGCCGCCCCCGAAAUGAAUUGGCGGCCCCGUCGCGGCCUCCCUCUGCGUAGUAGCACACAUCUCGCAGCUGGAGCGCGGCGCGGCCACUGCCGUAAAACGCACCAACUUUUUUUUACAGUUGACCUCGAAUCAGGUAGGAAUACCCGCUGAACUUAAGCAUAUCAAUAAGCGGAGGA